UUUUAGAGUUUGAUCCUGGCUCAGAUUGAACGCUGGCGGCAGGCCUAACACAUGCAAGUCGAACGGUAGCACAGAGAGCUUGCUCUCGGGUGACGAGUGGCGGACGGGUGAGUAAUGUCUGGGAAACUGCCUGAUGGAGGGGGAUAACUACUGGAAACGGUAGCUAAUACCGCAUAACGUCGCAAGACCAAAGAGGGGGACCUUCGGGCCUCUUGCCAUCAGAUGUGCCCAGAUGGGAUUAGCUAGUAGGUGGGGUAACGGCUCACCUAGGCGACGAUCCCUAGCUGGUCUGAGAGGAUGACCAGCCACACUGGAACUGAGACACGGUCCAGACUCCUACGGGAGGCAGCAGUGGGGAAUAUUGCACAAUGGGCGCAAGCCUGAUGCAGCCAUGCCGCGUGUAUGAAGAAGGCCUUCGGGUUGUAAAGUACUUUCAGCGGGGAGGAAGGUGUUGUGGUUAAUAACCGCAGCAAUUGACGUUACCCGCAGAAGAAGCACCGGCUAACUCCGUGCCAGCAGCCGCGGUAAUACGGAGGGUGCAAGCGUUAAUCGGAAUUACUGGGCGUAAAGCGCACGCAGGCGGUCUGUCAAGUCGGAUGUGAAAUCCCCGGGCUCAACCUGGGAACUGCAUUCGAAACUGGCAGGCUAGAGUCUUUAGAGGGGGAUCGGG
rnacentral:rRNA from 1 species